rnacentral:rRNA from 1 species
AUUGAACGCUGGCGGCAUGCCUUACACAUGCAAGUCGAACGGCAGCACGGGAGCAAUCCUGGUGGCGAGUGGCGAACGGGUGAGUAAUGUAUCGGAACGUACCUUUCAGUGGGGAUAACGUAGCGAAAGUUACGCUAAUACCGCAUAUUCUGUGAGCAGGAAAGCAGGGGAUCGCAAGACCUUGCGCUGAUUGAGCGGCCGAUAUCAGAUUAGCUAGUUGGUGAGGUAAAGGCUCACCAAGGCGACGAUCUGUAGCGGGUCUGAGAGGAUGAUCCGCCACACUGGAACUGAGACACGGUCCAGACUCCUACGGGAGGCAGCAGUGGGGAAUUUUGGACAAUGGGCGCAAGCCUGAUCCAGCCAUGCCGCGUGAGUGAAGAAGGCCUUCGGGUUGUAAAGCUCUUUCAGCCGGGAAGAAAACGCAUGGGUUAAUACCCUGUGUGGAUGACGGUACCGGAAUAAGAAGCACCGGCUAACCACGUG